UUUAUUCUAGUUUCACAGCGACAGACCAUUCCAUCAUAAAUAAAGUACUUCUACAAGGAAAAAUCUGAAAUACUGUGGAGUCAUUUAAUUUUUGUGGAUUGAUGAUAACCUGAAUUUUCAUGGAUAUUUGAUUUCAUGGUUUUUGCAAAAAUCUGCAUACAACACUACAGUUCGCUGAACAAUUAAAUUUGUGGUUCUCCUGAACCAACGAAAUCAAUGAAAAUUGGUAUCUAACGAUUAAUAAUUAAUCCACAGUACUGGGUAUUUUUUUCUUUGGCAAAUGUUGUGAAUUUGAAUCCUAGAAGUCCUUACUAAUCAAACAUUGAGACCCUGGCCAGUGAAGCAUCAAACCCUCCAUUUUUAUUCAGAUAUUUUUAAAAAUAUUUUUCUUUUUCUCAUGCUUCACAGAAGUCCUUACUUAUCAAACAAGACCCCAGCAUUGAACCUCCCAAAUUUUUUUCAUUCAGGUAUUUGAUAAGUUUUCUUUUUCUCAUGCUUCCAAGAAGUACUUAUCAAAUAUGACCCAAGCAAUAGACCCUUCCAGGGGCGGAUCCAGGAUUUUCGAUUAGGGGGGCGCAAAGUAUAUUUUUGCAGAGUGGAGCGAGUCGAAAUUGUUUUUGAGGUAUAAUUAUCAAAAUUAUUGAAAUAUUCUUUUAGAGAGGGUGCAAUGUAGAUAUAUCUUGCCAAGCAAAACGUGUCGAGAAAUAUUUGUGGUAAAAUUAGCGAGAACUUACAGUUUCAAGCUAAAAACAUUCACCCUUG
rnacentral:lncRNA from 1 species